AAAAGCCAGUUCAUGCUUUUAUAGUAUGAAAAUUGGUGAUUUAUAAUAACUUAGCAAAUCGCAAAGUGAAAACAGGCGAUAAAUCAUUCAAGUUUCUGACCUAUCAGCUUUCGACGGUAUGGUAUUGGCUUACCGUGGCAGUGACGGUUAACGGGGGAUUAGGGUUCGAUUCCGGAGAGGGAGCCUGAGAAACGGCUACCACAUCUAAGGAAGGCAGCAGGCGCGCAAAUUACCCAAUUCUAACAGUUUGAGAGAGGUAGUAACAAGAAAUAACAAUACAAGGCAGUUAAAAUGCUUUGUAAUUGGAAUGAUAGAAAUUUAAACCCUUUUUAAAGUAUCAAUUGGAGGGCAAGUCUGGUGCCAGCAGCCGCGGUAAUUCCAGCUCCAAUAGCGUAUAUUAAAAUUGUUGCAGUUAAAAAGCUCGUAGUUGAAGUUCUGCUGAAAGUAACCGGUCUGCUUUUAAUAAAAGUGGUAUCUUGGUAUGUAUUUAGCAAUGAUGUCCUUUGAAGUGUUUUUUACUUUAUUGUAAUAAAGCAUAUUCAGGACUUUUACUUUGAGAAAAUUAGAGUGUUUCUAGCAGGCUAACGCUUUGAAUACUGCAGCAUGGAAAUAAUAAGAA
rnacentral:rRNA from 1 species